rnacentral:rRNA from 1 species
GAUGAACGCUGGCGGCGUGCCUAAUACAUGCAAGUCGAGCGAACGGACGAGAAGCUUGCUUCUCUGAUGUUAUCGGCGGACGGGUGAGUAACACGUGGAUAACCUACCUAUAAGACUGGGAUAACUUCGGGAAACCGGAGCUAAUACUGGAUCAUAUUUUGAACCGCAUGGUUCAAAAGUGAAAGACGGUCUUGCCGUCACUUAUAGAUGGAUCCGCGCUGCAUUAGCUAGUUGGUAAGGUAACGGCUUACCAAGGCAACGAUGCAUAGCCGACCUGAGAGGGGGGUCAGCCACACUGGAACUGAGAAACGGUCCAAACUCCUACGGGAGGCAGCAGUGGGGAAUUUUGGACAAUGGGCGGAAACCUUAACCAGCCAUCCCGCGUGGGUGAAGAAGGCUUUCGGGUUGUAAAACCCUUUUUUUGGGAAAAAAAAGUAGGUGGAAAAUACGGCGCUGUUCUGACGGGAACCAAAGAAGAAGCACCGGCUAAAUUCGUG